ensembl:lncRNA
AAACAUCUCCAGUGGGUUAAUUUCUCUGUUGGAUACAAAUAGACACACACACACACACACACACACACACACACACACACACACACACACCGUGCUUGUGGUCAAACAUCUUGUAAACACAGCCGGCACCGACGGCCAGCAUCAGAAAAAGGAAGCAGCAGAACACAAUGGUGAGGACUUCGACGGUGUUCAGAAAAACCUCUGUGGAGGAGAAGGCACGAGACAUCUCACCUGUGACUCCCACCAGCACGGCUGCACUCUCCAGCCAGGCGCCGGAGUCGUUGUAGCUGUCCCUGGCCCUGCAGACGUAAUACCCAGACUCCUCUGGGCCAAGUUUGGCCAGAAAGAGUGUUCGUCUACGGUCAGCCAGGGCGCCGUGAUACGGGACGGGAGAGAGAGAUGUUGACCGGAGGGCUCCCUCUUGUUGACCAGCACGUCACGUUGCCAUACCGACUGGCUCCCUGUUUGAAGAUGGAGUAAGAGAUUCUUGGCUUUGAGAGGUAGGCUGGUGGGGGAAUAAAGACGGGAGAAGACGAGGACAGGGAUGAUACAGCACAAGUUACGCUGAAGUGAAAAUACAUUGAACCAACGUUUUGAGUAGGUCCCGUUUUUUUUGUCUUUUUUCAGCCCUCACCUUUGACUGUCAUCUGGACCUCUUGGCUGCUGGAAAACCUCCUGUCGCCUUGCACCUCGGACCAAGCCAUGCAAGAAUAGUACCCAGCAUGCUCUGGAGCCACCUUCCCCAUCACUAGCUCGUUCCCAGUGAGGAGAAGGGGAGGAGAGGUUAAAGAUGUCACCUCCUUCCUGUUGAACAACCAGGUGUAGAAAAGAUGGGAGCCCCUUGCAACGCUGCAGCUCAGUGCAAUGCGUGACCCCUCGUACGCGGCAGGGGGGAAGGGGUCAGAGGUCACUCUGGUGUUCGAGGCUGGAGCUGAAGGGCAGGGAAGGACGGGUGGUUGGGCAGGAGAGACGGAGGUCAGGUUUGAGAGUGUCUCCAGGGAAAUAAGAUUCUCUCUGUGGUUCACUCACUGACUACACUCAGCCUGAUGCUGUUGCUGACUCCUGUGCUUUCUGGUGUCGUCGCCUUGCAGUGGUACGACCCCUCCGACGUUGCCGUGACCUUCAGGUGAAAUAAAGCCUUUUGAUCCCCAGGAAGGUCAGCGACUACGGCGAUCAGGGCGCUGCCGUCCCUAAUCAGCUCAUAGGUGACUGGCAGAGAGGAGUCAGGUCGAAUACAGCGGAAGGUCACCCUGGAACUGAGGAACGCCGCGUCAGGACCACUCAGCACCGGCUGAAGAGACAUUGAUCCACCUGAGGACAGACAUGGAGUUUAGGUAGAGACCGGAAAAGUUUUAAAGAGAGUAAGAGCAGAUGCAGCCACUUAUUUUUGGAUUUCAGGUUUUGAAAUUAAUAUCGAGGGUUCUGAAGCAACGAAAGAUCCGUCAGUCAGCGUAGCACCAGAUCUUACUAAGCUCUACUUCCAACGUACUUAUCCUGAUGAAGAAACUUGCUAGAGCUGAAAAACAACAACACAUUGUUCAAAUAAUAUAAAUAAACCAAUCAAAUUAUUUAUUCAUGUUGCUAUUUUUAACUUUUUUGAUUAACUCACCCAAAACUGGCAGCAAAUUUAAAGUCUGUUGAUUCUUCAUAACAGAGCUCCACAUUUAUCUUUGACAUGGUUUCUCCAAAGCCUGGCUCAAUAUACCCAUCUUGUGUGUGUGUGUGUGUGUGUGUGUGU